rnacentral:rRNA from 1 species
UACGGGAGGCAGCAGUGGGGAAUAUUGCACAAUGGGCGAAAGCCUGAUGCAGCUAUGCCGCGUGUAUGAAGAAGGCCUUAGGGUUGUAAAGUACUUUCAUCGGGGAGGAAAAACAAAACUAAUAAUUUUAUUUCUUGACGUUACCCGAAAAAGAAGCACCGGCUAACUCCGUGCCAGCAGCCGCGGUAAUACGGAGGGUGCUAGCGUUAAUCAGAAUUACUGGGCGUAAAGAGCACGUAGGUGGUUUUUUUAAGUCAGAUGUGAAUCCCUGGGCUUAACCUAGGAACUGCAUUUUGAAACUGAAAUACUAGAGUAUCGUAGAGGGAGGUAGAAUUCUAGGUGUAGCGGUGAAAUGCGUAGAUAUCUGGAGGAAUACCUGUGGCGAAAGCGGCCUCCUAAACGAAUACUGACACUGAGGUGCGAAAGCGUGGGGAGCAAACAGGGAUUAGAUACCCGU